rnacentral:rRNA from 1 species
GUCUGACGGUACCACUCGAGGAAGCUCCGGCAAACUACGUGCCAGCAGCCGCGGUAAUACGUAGGGGGCUAGCGUUGUUCGGAAUCACUGGGCGUAAAGGGAGUGUAGNCGGACCGGUAAGUUAGGAGUUAAAUGUACGGGCUCAACCCGUGAUCUGCUUUUAAUACUGUCGGUCUUGAGUAUGGGAGAGGGAGAUGGGAUUCCAGGUGUACCGGUGGAAUGCGUAGAUAUCUGGAAGAACACCAGUUGCGAAGGCGGUCUCCUGGACCAAUACUGACGCUGAUGCUCGAAAGCUGGGGGAGCGAACAGGAUUAGAUACCCUGGUAGUCCCAGCCGUAAACGAUGGACACUAGUUGCCGGAGGAGUCAAUCCCUUCGGUGACGAAGCUAACGCAUUAAGUGUCCCGCCUGGGGAGUACGCUCGCAAGGGUGAAACUCAAAGGAAUUGACGGGGGCCCGCACAAGCGGUGGAGCAUGUGCUUUAAUUCGAUGCAACGCGAAGAACCUUACCUGGGUUUGACAUGGGGGUGAAAGUUUCCAGAGAUGGAAGCCUUUCCUUCGGGAACACCCCACACAGGUGCUGCAUGGUUGUCGUCAGCUCGUGUCGUGAGAUGUUGGGUUAAGUCCCGCAACGAGCGCAACCCCUGCCCUUAGUUGCCAUCAGGUAAAGCUGGGAACUCUAAGGGGACAGCUUGGUAUAACCAGGAGGAAGGUGGGGAUGACGUCAAAUCAUCAUGGCUCUUACGCCCAGGGCUAGACACGUGCUACAAUGGCAGGUACAGUGGGAUGCCAGCCUGCGAAGGUGAGCUAAUCCCUUAAAACCUGUCUCAGUCCGGAUUGGAGUCUGCAACUCGACUCCAUGAAGUUGGAAUCGCUAGUAAUCGCGGAUCAGCAUGCCGCGGUGAUACGUUCCCGGGCCUUGUACACACCGCCCGUCAAGCCAUGAAAGGCGGUAGUACCCGAAGUCGCGUACCCAACCGUAAGGAGGGAAGCGCCGAAGGUAAGGCUG